GAUGAACGCUGACAGAAUGCUUAACACAUGCAAGUCAACUUGAACUUCGGUUUGGGUGGCGGACGGGUGAGUAACGCGUAAAGAACUUGCCUCACAGUUAGGGACAACAUUUGGAAACGAAUGCUAAUACCUGAUAUUACGAUUUUAGGGCAUCCUAGAAUUAUGAAAGCUAUAUGCGCUGUGAGAGAGCUUUGCGUCCCAUUAGCUAGUUGGAGAGGUAACGGCCCACCAAGGCGAUGAUGGGUAGCCGGCCUGAGAGGGUGAACGGCCACAAGGGGACUGAGACACGGCCCUUACUCCUACGGGAGGCAGCAGUGGGGAAUAUUGGACAAUGGACCAAGAGUCUGAUCCAGCAAUUCUGUGUGCACGAUGAAGUUUUUCGGAAUGUAAAGUGCUUUCAGUUGGGAAGAAAGAAAUGACGGUACCAACAGAAGAAGUGACGGCUAAAUACGUGCCAGCAGCCGCGGUAAUACGUAUGUCACGAGCGUUAUCCGGAUUUAUUGGGCGUAAAGCGCGUCUAGGUGGUUAUGUAAGUCUGAUGUGAAAAUGCAGGGCUCAACUUUGUAUUGCGUUGGAAACUGUAUAACUAGAGUACUGGAGAGGUAAGCGGAACUACAAGUGUAGAGGUGAAAUUCGUAGAUAUUUGUAGGAAUGCCGAUGGGGAAGCCAGCUUACUGGACAGAUACUGACGCUAAAGCGCGAAAGCGUGGGUAGCAAACAGG
rnacentral:rRNA from 1 species